rnacentral:rRNA from 1 species
UACGGAGGGUGCAAGCAUUAUCCGGAUUCACUGGGUUUAAAGGGUGCGUAGGAGGGCAGGUAAGUCAGUGGUGAAAUCCCCGAGCUUAACUUGGGAACUGCCGUUGAUACUAUCUGUCUUGAAUACCGUGGAGGUGAGCGGAAUAUGUCAUGUAGCGGUGAAAUGCUUAGAUAUGACAUAGAACACCAAUUGCGAAGGCAGCUCGCUACACGAAUAUUGACUCUGAGGCACGAAAGCGUGGGGAUCAAACAGG